AAAAAAUAUGCAAAAAUGGCGAUCUAGGGUUUUGAUGUAUUCUCGAAGAUGGGGUCCGAGUAUUUGCGUAGGAGAUUGGUUCAUCAAGGAGUUUCAAGAGCGCGAUUCGGAUGACUGGAAAAAAGGCUUUCCUUCAAAUCAAUCAGGGAUUGAUUUGAGAUUCAAUAAGGAGAAUUUGGGGAAGAUAAGAAAAUGGAAACUUUGGAUUGAUCGGUGCAGGGCCCCGAUCAUUAUCAAGCAAGAUCAGGCAAGAAGGAAUUGGUUUUUGGAGGUUUAUUUGGCUUAAUGGGUAUAAGGAAAGUAAUUCUUGUUUUGGUUCUUUGGAUUUUUGUUAAAUUUUGGAAUAAAAUUAGCUUCUGGUGUUUCUGGUACUUUAAUUUGCUGGGAGUAUUUGUUCAUCAUCAGAAUGGCUCUGUUACUUGGGCACGAAGAUGUGGAAACGUUUGGAGGCUGGUAUGUAUAAGGCAAAUUGUGUCUGUUGGUAUGGUGCUGUGGUCUGUUGGAAAACGCUUGGCUCUGUAUUUAGGUGUGUGGCAGGAACGGGUGAGAGUUGACAAGUUAUGGUGGAGGCCUUUACGGUUACGGAGAUGGGGCGAGAGAGGAUUGACAUGGCGUUUAAUGGAAUAUACUGAUUGGUACAAUGAUGGCUUUGAUCAACAACAUGAGUUUGAGAUGGUCAUGGAGUAUGAGAGGCUUCAAAACUUUGGUUUUUUUGGUGUUAUUAUGAUGUCAAUUGCGGGGAAAUACAUGUAUAAGGGGAAUGGAACAGUGGAUUUGGACAAUGUGUGGCACGUAAUACUGCACAUCUCAUUUUCUUUAUGCAAAGUCCUAUACGGUUGUCAUAAGGAAUUGUGGAAAAAUUGUACUUUCACUGGUGUAAUUGAGUCUAAACCUUUAUA